CGGGAAGCCUAAAUGGCGCAAGAAGGCAGUGUGUGAGAAUAUGGAGCCUCAGGAAGGGGAUGGAGCGGGAAAAAAAUCGAUGGUUGGGGAAAAAAAUGGACUCUUGCAAAGAACGCAGAAGGCAACAAUUGGCAGAUCCGAUAGCUCAGAGAGGAGAAAGGAAAGGCAGUGUGACCGGAGACAAAAUAUGCCAUAAUGACUUGGGCUUGACUGGGCAGGUGCUGAAGCGCAGACACACCCUGUCACAGUUAUGGGUUCACGUUCACAUUUCAUCAAGCCUCAUAAGCAGCCUGGACAUGGGCCAGCUCGGCACAAUACAGCACUAAAUUCAUAUUUACUUUCAUUUAGCAGAAGCUUUUGUCCACAGCA